ACGUGUCGCUUCUUUAGUGGUCUAAUAUUUUGUUUGUGUCGCGCGUCUGUUCUAAUUUUUUUUCCUCGACUCUUCCAUCUCCCAUCUGAAAAUUCAUCGGUGUCUGUAACUCGGCGUUACGGUGUAAUAAUGUUGUUCCUCUCUAAAUCAUUCAAUUCGAUUCUUAACUCCUUUAUUAGAUUUCUCAACCUACAUCGCAAAUCCCUAAUUUCUGAGACUAUAAAUAGGGUUUAGGACCUCUCCAAAUUUCAGUGAUUCACGAGAUUCAAUCAUAUUCCUUCACAACCUGCAACGUUGGUGUCAUCCCAGAUCAUUCUUUCCGAUUUGAAAUCCGACCGUACUCCUUAGACGGUGGUGACGCGUCUCCUGCGUUUCCGGAAAGCACCCAACGUCCUUUCUCACCCAACGUCACGAAAGGAGGAAAGCUCAAACGAGUUCGUUCAUGGCGACUUCUCCAAAUCAGAGCUCGUGUUCUAUCUCACAGAAACCUCUCGAUCAUGGUGACUUCUCAAUUCAUUUUUCCGAGUUUAAGAUAGGCCGAUGCAGACAGAGUGUUCAGAUCAUACUCCUUCCCUUGACGCGCGUCAUGCUUACUUUUCUUUCCCCGAUCAUGAAGCGAGAUAAUGAAGCGCGUGAUUCCUUUGAAACGCAGAUGAGGGUCCAAGCCCAUAAGCAACAAAGCCCCAAGAACAUUUCGCCAUUCUGCCUCCGUCUACUUAAACCGCCAGUUAAACCAGUACUGUUAAUUGGUUCAGACUCUGGCUCCUUUGACCGCCAGCUGGGAGGCGUUCCGUAGAGGAAACGACCGACGAGGCUUUAUAUACCUGUAGCUCAGGUGGGUGUUGCAGCACCGGUCUCCGUGAAUGCAGAGACGCCGAGGGGAGAACGUGGAGAGGUGAUGAGUUUACGGUUUACUGCAACAGGAAAGAGAGAAGCUAUGGAAGAUCGUUUCUCUGCUAUCACCAAUCUUGAAAGAGAUCCCAAACAGAUAGUUUGGAUUUAGAAUUUUUGUUAUCAACUCAACAGUGGCGCAAUCCUUCAUCCUGCUCGCCGAUUUGAAAGCUGGCCGGUUCUGGCAGUGGAGAUUCAACAGCGGCAGAUUCCUCACACCACCGCGACAAGAACAAAUCAUAACCUCCAUCAAGUAUUUGGUGGAAACUGCAGCAGAAGAUCGUUCCGAACAGAAGCUGAUCUCACCAUAGAUUCUUCAGGUUGCAAAGUUUUAGGGGCCCAUCACCAGGACUACUCAACUUAUAAUGUCAAUGAUUCGUGUUGCCAAGUUAUUCCUCAUUCUUCAACAAACCUUUAUUCAUACACGUGUUAUUUUUUUUUGUUGCUUAUCUACAUUUAUCUUUAGUGUUAUUGGUAGAGACGCUCUCAAUCCUUCAUGAGAAGUUGGAACCCAAGGUCAUCGUGGCCACUAGCAUAAACCCAGAACUUGUAAGAGGUAAAUUCGGCUGGUUACCAAAUGUGUAUGUAUAAGGAAUUUCCAACUUCUGAUGCGUAUGUCUACUUUUGGUAUUUGUCUUAUUAUGUCCAACUUAUGUGUCCACCUUUUCCAGCUCUCCUAUUUUUAAAAGCUACGUCUCGGGCCACUUUAAAGUUUAACUGUUCGAUGAGUAAGUUUCUUCUGAAUAUAUCAACCACUGCAGCUAACAUGGCUUGACUGAAGUGACGCCUCAAGUGGUUCCAAGUAUGGAGGUGUUCAGACAACCGAGAGCGUGACUGUGGCGUAGCUUAGUACAACAUUUGUUAUUGGUAUUAAUAUGCCACUCUUUCAGUCUACACUACUGCAUUGUAACAAAAAAAAAAUUGGUCUUAAUUAUUUUUGACAAAAAAAUAGAAUUCCAUGUUAUCAUAGUUCUACUAAAAUUAUACUAUUAUUGUUAUUUUUUUUGUUUAAAACUCAAAAUUAAAUUUUAAAAUAUGCUAUAUUUUCUUGGUCAA